GCUUAUGUAAUAAAUUUUAAUUUGAAAAAAAAAAAUUUGACCUCUGAACUUGUCUUGGUGGUGAAAACGGACAUCAAAUAUUAAGGAAAAACAAAAAUAACUUUGUAAUUUGAACUAGCUUAAAUUGCCGUUUUUUUCUAUUGACAAAAGCGACGAACGGUUGCCAAAUCGAUAACAUUUGAGUUACACGAGCUUAGGGUACAAGUUUCCAACCCGCAUUCAAUAACUUCGAUAAAGAUCAAGGAUCCCUUCACUGUAAUCUUCCCUCAUGUGAAGAAAUUUGUUAUUCAUUAGAAUAUUAAUUUACUAUGUGGUUUCUUUUUGUGGACAUAAUUUAUUUUCUCAGCUCUCACUUGACCUAUUUUUACGAUAAAAAUGAAAGUAAAUAUUGAGCUUUUCUGAUAAAUUUACUGUAUAAUUUACUUAAUA